UGUAGAUGACAUUGCGUGAUUCACAGCCAGUUGUGCUUGUUAAAAGCUACUGUUCCUGUGUGGCUGGGUGUGGGAUAUGCCAUCAUUUGGUUGCAUUACUAUAUCAGACUGCCCAUUACUCUGAAUGUGGCAUGUCUGUCGUCCAUCCUGUACUUUCGUGCACUGAAACAGAGCAGGUGGCAUAAACCACGAACAAUGAUUUGUAUCAUUUCAAUACCAGACAGUUGUGUCACAUGCAUACUAGCAUCUCUCCUAAUACCAUCUCAUAAAUAAAUAGGGAGUGAAGCCAGGACCUGUGGAUGCCAUGGUUGUAGUGAAGCCCAAACCAGAUGCUACUCCGGCAAGCGGAAUUAGAUCUACACUUUACAAGGGCUACAGCGGUGAGCUACCAGACCCAUCAACCCUCAACCCACUACCUGCCUAUGCUGACAUGGAACCAGACUCUCUUCCCCUUAUCUGCAGAAUAAACAUCACAUCUGACAAACCACUCGUGGACUCCAUUUUUGGCAAGGUACAAACUGGCAGUAUCCUGUCAUAUCAACACCCACCACCUCCACCUGACAGUGUUGUCAUCCAUGAGGAUGCACCACCGUUUCCAAAAGUGCCACUGGACGGUUACCAUUUACAACCAACAGACUGUUCAUACGAGAUCAUGACGGAUCAAGAAAAGCUUCACCUCAGUUCUCUGUCUGUGACUUUGUCACAGUCACACCUGAUUGAGGAAGCAACCAGAUGCCAAAGUGAAACACCCGAGUGGCAUUCACUGAGGAAGGAGAGAGUGACUGCUUCACAUUUCCGGGAGGUAAGCCAUGUUAGAGGUACAAGCACAGCAGAAAACUGGCAGAAAUAAUUAUCAGAGGGACAAGACAAACACCACUAAUGAAAAGGGGGCUGGAAAUGGAAGCAGGUGCAUUGAAGGACUAUGCAGUUCUAAAAAAUCUUAAUCUGACAAAGUGUGGGCUAGUCGUGCAUCCGGACGCACCUUGGCUGGGUGCAUCGCCUGAUGGGCUCGUAUAUGACCCACUUGAGCGACCAUCAUUUGGUCUAGUUGAAAUUAAAUGCCCAAAUGUAGCCAGCUACAUAGACUGCAAGUUCCUGAGAUUUGACCAUGGCCUACACAAAUUGAAGGAAAGCCAUUGUUAUUAUUGGCAAGUCCAAGGACAGUUACUCAUCACAGGCAUGGAAUGGUGUGAUUUUGUUGUCUGUGCCCAUGAUGACAUUUUCGUGCAGCGCAUUUGCCGAGACAGCACUGUAUUAAGCUCCCUGAAAGAGAGAUGUGAUUUGUUUUUCUUUAACACAUACAUGUCAAAAUACCUCUCUAUGAAAAGUAACUGAACAGACACAUGAAUUAUUGUACAAUCAUUUUACAAUUUAUUUUGUCAACUGUCUUAUUUACAACAUUGUAAUAUUAAAGGGGCGCUAUGCA